UCGAGAAUCUUCGGCAAUGGGCGCAAGCCUGACCGAGCGACGCCGCGUGGAGGACGAAGGCCUUCGGGUUGUAAACUCCUGUCGAGGGGGAAGAAGCCGCAAGGUUGACUGAACCCUGGAGGAAGCACGGGCUAAGUUCGUGCCAGCAGCCGCGGUAAGACGAACCGUGCGAACGUUAUUCGGAAUCACUGGGCUUAAAGCGCGUGUAGGCGGGAGGGCACGUCCGUCGCUGAAAUCCCACGGCUCAACCGUGGAACGGGCGCGGAUACGACUCUUCUGGAGGAACGUAGGGGGACCUGGAACUUCCGGUGGAGCGGUGAAAUGCGUUGAGAUCGGAAGGAACGCCCGUGGCGAAAGCGAGGUCCUGGACGUUUACUGACGCUGAGACGCGAAAGCCAGGGGAGCGAACG
rnacentral:rRNA from 1 species